rnacentral:rRNA from 1 species
AGAGUUUGAUCCUGGCUCAGGAUGAACGCUGGCGGCGUGCUUAACACAUGCAAGUCGAACGGGAUCCAAGGGGUGCUUGCACUUUUUGGUGAGAGUGGCGAACGGGUGAGUAACACGUGAGUAACCUGCCUUUUUCUUUGGGAUAACGCUCAGAAAUGGGUGCUAAUACUGGAUGUUCUGCGCUUUCCGCAUGGGGGGUGUGGGAAAGGGGCCUUUGUGGUUUCUGGAGGGAGAUGGGCUCGCGGCUUAUCAGCUUGUUGGUGGGGUGAUGGCUUACCAAGGCUUUGACGGGUAGCCGGCCUGAGAGGGUGGUCGGUCACAUUGGGACUGAGAUACGGCCCAGACUCCUGCGGGAGGCAGCAGUGGGGGAUAUUGCACAAUGGGCGAAAGCCUGAUGCAGCGACGCCGCGUGGGGGAUGAAGGCCUUCGGGUUGUAAACUUCUUUUGCUCUGAACAAGGCAUGCUAAUGGGUGUGUUGAGUGUAGGGGUUGAUUAGCGCCGGCUAACUACGUGCCAGCAGCCGCGGUAAUACGUAGGGCGCGAGCGUUGUCCGGAAUUAUUGGGCGUAAAGGGCUUGUAGGUGGCUGGUUGCGUCUGUCGUGAAAGCUCAUGGCUUAACUGUGGGUUUGCGGUGGGUACGGGCUGGCUUGAGUGCAGUAGGGGAGGCUGGAAUUCCUGGUGUAGCGGUGGAAUGCGCAGAUAUCAGGAGGAAUACCGGUGGCGAAGGCGGGUCUCUGGGCUGUUACUGACACUGAGGAGCGAAAGCAUGGGGAGCGAACAGGAUUAGAUACCCUGGUAGUCCAUGCUGUAAACGGUGGGAACUGGGUGUGGGGGGCUUUUUUGUCUUCUGCGUCGUAGCUAACGCGUUAAGUUCCCCGCCUGGGGAGUACGGUCGCAAGGCUAAAACUCAAAGGAAUUGACGGGGGCCCGCACAAGCGGCGGAGCAUGCGGAUUAAUUCGAUGCAACGCGAAGAACCUUACCAAGGCUUGACAUGCACUGGACUGGCUCAGAGAUGGGUUUUCCUUUUUGGCUGGUGUGCAGGUGGUGCAUGGUUGUCGUCAGCUCGUGUCGUGAGAUGUUGGGUUAAGUCCC